rnacentral:lncRNA from 1 species
GUUUUAAAGAGCACAACUUUUAUUCUAUAUGGUACAACUAAGUCUUAAAUAAUUUUAAAUGGCGUAACUUUUGCAUAAAAAAGUUUAACAUUCAUAUCAAAAAGUACAACUUUCACCUCAAAGAGUACAAUUUUUGCCUUAGCUUAACUUUCAUCUCAAAUAACGCAACUUCAUUUUCUUUUUUUUUCUUCUCUACUUCUUGACCUUUUCUAUAGCGGUCAUGACACAUUGUAGUCUUUUCAAGACAAGAAAAAAAAAAAAAUUUAUUUUUAUUCUUUCUUCUUUCUUUUCUUUCACUAUAUGUAUCUUUUUUCACUAUUGUAACCACUCCCUCGCCCUCUGCUAUGGCUGCUACCCCCUCCCUUGUCGGAUUGUUGGUGUUAACUAUUAAUCCCAAAAUCUCAAGCUGAUAGAAAUACACAACCAAUUCACGUAAAACGUACAGACACAGCACCUACGGGUCUCGAUUGUGACUCGACCCAACUAGUGUAAUGCCAUUUCGAACGUAACAUGGCCCAACUUGGCCUCUCGCCACAGGACAUGAUGCUAACCCCUUUAAGCCAAAACUCCUUCCUCUAGCAUCUACACAAAUUCACGGCAUGCAAAAAUCGAACCCACUGGCUCUAACACCACUUAUCGGAUCGUUGGCACUAACUAUUAAUCUGAGAAACUCAAGAUGUCAGAAAUAUGCAACCAAUUCAUUUAAAGCGUCAGACACAGCGUCUAGAGGUCUCAAUUGUGACUCGGCCUGACUAGCCUCACGCCACUUCGAACAUGACUUCGCUAAAUCCAGCCUCACGCCGUUUCGAACGUGACUUCGCCUAACUUGGCCUUACGCCAACAACUAUCAAUUGAUCUUU